GACAGAGGGUGCAAACGUUGCUCGGAAUUACUGGGCGUAAAGCGCACGUAGGCGGACUGUUAAGUCGGGGGUGAAAUCCUGGGGCUCAACCUCGGAACUGCCUUUGAUACUGGGGAUCUCGAGUCCGGGAGAGGUGAGUGGAACUGCGAGUGUAGAGGUGAAAUUCGUAGAUAUUCGCAAGAACACCAGUGGCGAAGGCGGCUCACUGGCCCGGAACUGACGCUGAGGUGCGAAAGCGUGGGGAGCAAACAGG
rnacentral:rRNA from 1 species